GACGGAGGUCUCAAGCGUUGUUCGGAUUCAUUGGGCGUAAAGGGUGCGUAGGUGGCGCCAUAAGUCAGGUGUGAAAUCUCGGGGCUCAACCUCGAAACUGCACUUGAUACUGUGGUGCUUGAGUACUGGAGAGGAGAUUGGAAUUUACGGUGUAGCAGUGAAAUGCGUAGAUAUCGUAAGGAAGACCAGUGGCGAAGGCGAUCACCUGGGGUUGUUCUGACGCUGAGGAGCGAAAGCUAGGGGAGCAAACGGG
rnacentral:rRNA from 1 species